rnacentral:lncRNA from 1 species
GACACACACAGCGGUGAGCCACCUCGUGUGGUGCAGUCCUGUGGAGCCCCUGGUCUGUCUGCUGUACCACCCGGGGCUGUGGGCUGGACCACUGCAGACAAGUGGCUCCCCUUGGCACCCUCGGGGCUGGGCCUGGCAUGGGGACUCACCAAGAGACCCGCAGCUGCUGGACAUGGGCCACAGGGCCUGUGCUGCCCCGGCCGACAUGGGAGCACGGCCACAGUGCAGAGAGGACACAGAAAGAAACCACCUGGGCUCAGAGUGACAGAGAGCAUCCCCUCUGCCCCACCUCUCGGUUCUGGUUGCAGUGGCCUGGACAAAGCAGCUGGGCCUCUAGCUGGCUGCCUUCAGGACUGAGAGGUGGGGGGCUCAGAGCCCUCCAAAGCCAAGGGAAGGCCCCUCCCAGGAGGCCGGGGAUCCCGGAAGAGCAGCCCCAGUCCCAUGGCUCUGCGCUCCUCCAUGGUCAUGGAGAGGUGCUGAUGCUCCUGGUCAUAAGGAGGAAGUACCUGCGGUGCUGGCGCCUCGAGGUUCGGCUUCACAGGUUCCAGGCUUCCCAGAAUGCCAGGCGCCUGGCAGUGAUUUGGAGGAGCUGGGCAGAUGCUCGAAGGGGGCAGCAGCUGUCUCGGGCCCUGCUCAGGCAGUGGCACCUGGGACAGGCCUGGAGGAUAUGGCGGCGGCGGGUCCUGCAGCUGCGGGUAGCUGUGAGGCUACAGCAGCAAGAAGGUGCCUGGGUCCUCUCCCAGGCCUUUGAAAAGUGGCAUCAGUGCUUGGUGGCCAGACGCCAAAGGAGGAGCGCCACCAGCAGCCUGAGUCCCCUGACAGGCCAGGCACCAGGGCCUUGAGAGCAUGCUGGAAGCUGCCCAGUCCCUGGUGUGGCGGGCUUGGACCAGAACAGGGGUCCAACCUGCUGCGAGGCAUUCCCACAGAAUAAGAAGCAGAGGAGAGCCUGGCCUUCCCAGGGAGGGGCAGUGCCCCCCACACCCGGAAUAUCGACAGCUCAGGGAGCUCUGAAGUACAAUAAAGGCCUCCGUGGUCUCCGAUGCUGCUCUUGC